UAUAUACUCCCUCCGUACUAAAAUUCUUGUCUUCCGUUUGUCUAAAAAUUGAAUGUAUCUAAAUACUAACACAUGACUAGAUAAAUUCAUAUCUAAACAAAUCAAAGACAAGAAUUUUGGGACGGAGUGAGUAAUAA
rfam:Hordeum vulgare subsp. vulgare, WGS project CAJW01000000 data, contig: morex_contig_49213